rfam:Schistosoma mansoni, Puerto Rico, WGS project CABG01000000 data, contig: 0141
AGCCUUCUGUAUCCGUGUUGAGAUUUCGUCGCACACCAGACCACAAGAGCUAACGGAACUCCAAAGAUAAGUGAAGCG